UACGGAGGGUGCAAGCGUUAUCCGGAUUCACGGGGUUUAAAGGGUGCGUAGGUGGGCAGGUAAGUCAGUGGUGAAAUCUCCGGGCUUAACCCGGAAACUGCCAUUGAUACUAUUUGUCUUGAAUACUGUGGAGGUCAGCGGAAUAUGUCAUGUAGCGGUGAAAUGCUUAGAUAUGACAUAGAACACCAAUUGCGAAGGCAGCUGGCUACACAAAUAUUGACACUGAGGCACGAAAGCGUGGGGAUCAAACAGG
rnacentral:rRNA from 1 species